rnacentral:tRNA from 1 species
AAAAUAGUUUAAUAAAAAUAGUGACUUUGGGUGUCAUCAACCGCCUCGGCGUUACCUGAGC